rnacentral:rRNA from 1 species
CAGCCGCCACGGUAAUACGAAGGGUGCAAGCGUUAAUCGGAAUUACUGGGCGUAAAGCGUGCGUAGGCGGUUUGUUAAGUCUGUUGUGAAAUCCCCGGGCUCAACCUGGGAAUGGCAAUGGAUACUGGCAAGCUAGAGUGUGUCAGAGGAUGGUGGAAUUCCCGGUGUAGCGGUGAAAUGCGUAGAGAUCGGGAGGAACAUCAGUGGCGAAGGCGGCCCCCUGGGCCAACACUGACGCUCAUGCACGAAAGCGUGGGGAGCAAACAGGAUUAGAUACCCCGGUAGUCCCUGUCUCUUAACA